GAUAAAUGUGUCUCUUCUUAGCCUAAUUAUUCUGUUCAGUUCUGGGCAAACCGCCCAAUACAACCACAAGACUCCUCGUUAGGUACAGUUCAGCUGAGCCAGAGAACAGCAAUAGCACUUGCCCCAAACAACGCCAUUAGGACGUCUGUUUAACUGUCUGAUAUAUAACAUACAGGAACAAAUUAGAAUUUAGCAUUCCCUAAUAAUAAAAGGUCAGACAACCUGCUAUUGCCCAUACAAUGAUGUAUUAAUACAUCACAAUAUCUGGUUUCAUAUACUCCUUAAUUUACACAAGGAUCUUCAUUUAUGUGUUAUUUUUCAACAGGAUGCUAACAUAAUUAAUUAAUAUAGAAUCCCCGUUGUCAUUUAGACAUCAAUCAAUUGUAAAUUUUAAUAUUUAGCACAGAAGCUCACUGUUAUUAACAGGUCCAAAAGAACUUCCUCAUUCCUAUUAUUUUUUUAAGUAGCCCUUUCCUUUAAACCAUCCUCCUAACAAAGCAGAAUGUUUUUGUAUAGGCCAGAAUGUUCAUGAGGUCCUACAGUAGGUAAACAUGAGCUUUAGUAGUGGCAGAGCAACCGCUACAUCUCUGAUUGCAGCUAAGGGCAAUACACUAAUGGUUGCACUGCUACCCAAAAGUAAGAAAACUAUUGAUAACAUCAAAAACAUUGUAAUGAGGAAGGACGUACACUGUUUUUCUUGAUGCGUAACUCUGUCUCCCACACACUUGAAUGCUUGCAAAAUGCAUCUAACUUCUUUCUUUCCUGUUUGUUUUUUUGUUUAUUUUUUGUACAUGGUAAUAUUUCUGAUUUGUAUUGUACUCUUUAUAAGUAUACAAUAAAG